AGUUGGUUAUUUAUGCUACCGAAGACUCAGGUGCCAAUAGGCUUAAUAUCCUGCCGAGGAAGAUACGUUGAAAUCCCUCUCUAUGUCUUGGUGGACAUGGAGUUUUUUAUUUUUUAUA
rfam:Lactobacillus graminis DSM 20719 NODE_2, whole genome shotgun sequence.